AUUUAAUAUAGUAAUUUUAAUUUUGGGGGUUUUUUUUAAUGUAAUUUUUAUUUAGUAGGUAUUCUGUUGAUAAAAUUGUUAGACCAAACAGAAAUGCUUGAAAAUUUAACGGGAGGUUCAUUAAAAGUCGUGCUUAGUGGUAAAAAAAUUGAGUGCAAUAUUUAAUUUUAUUUUUUUCAUAAUAGUUUUGACAUAUUAAGUUCUUUAUAAGAGUUUUGAGAUUAAAUUUUGACGAAAAUUGUAAUUAUUACGGCCUUU